rnacentral:rRNA from 1 species
ACGCACGCUGGCGGCAUGCCUAACACAUGCAAGUCGAACGAGACCUUCGGGUCUAGUGGCGCACGGGUGCGUAACGCGUGGGAAUCUACCCUCAGGUUCGGAAUAACUCAGAGAAAUUUGAGCUAAUACCGGAUGAUGACGUAAGUCCAAAGAUUUAUCGCCUGAGGAUGAGCCCGCUUAGGAUUAGGUAGUUGGUGAGGUAAAGGCUCACCAAGCCGACGAUCCUUAGCUGGUCUGAGAGGAUGAUCAGCCACACUGGGACUGAGACACGGCCCAGACUCCUACGGGAGGCAGCAGUGGGGAAUAUUGGACAAUGGGCGAAAGCCUGAUCCAGCAAUGCCGCGUGAGUGAUGAAGGCCUUAGGGUUGUAAAGCUCUUUUACCCGGGAUGAUAAUGACAGUACCGGGAGAAUAAGCUCCGGCUAACUCCGUG